CACAAUUUAUUAUCAUUAUAGAGAUGAGGGCAGGUGACUCACUGAGGGUCCCAUGGCCUACGUAAAAGAGCAAGUCUCAAUGUCAAGUGUCCUUGACACUUCCACCAGCUCCACUUCCCCACAGCUGCCUCUCUCCAGGAAUGACUCAGGCCCCUGAGGGCUCCAGAUGGGUGUUAUUGUCCUGGUGUUGCAAAGUGUCCUCUUCCUCAGCUGUUUCCUUCCCUCCUGGUCUGUCACACACACACACACACACACACACACACACACACACACACGCACCCCCUCCUACCCCCUCAGGCCUGGGGCUGCUGGGUGUGACUUUCACCUGCACUCUGUCUCCCCCAUCAGUAUAACUCAGCGCUAAGCAUCCGCCACAGAUGUCACUUUGGUUCAAACUCUGGAUCUCUCCAGACUGGGUCUUCAGGAAGGGGGUGGGCUGGACAGUCAUGCCAUCAGCACCCCUAACCCAGAGUGAGCCAGUCACUCAGAGGCAGUGUGGCAGGGCGGGCUCUAGGGGCAAAAUGCCAGCUCUGCUACCUACUACCUGUGUAGCCUUGGGAAAGUUACUUAAUCUCUCUGUGCCUUGGUUUCCCCAUCAGUAAAAUGCAGAUAAUAAUAAUGUUUAACUCACAGGGUUGUCGUGGCCGUCAAAUCAGGUAAUAUGUGCUUAAAAUUGUGCCUGGCACUUAGUAAGCAUUUGACAAAUGUCAGUAGUUCUUGUUAACACAAGGUAAUUUACACGGAUCACUCCAUAACCUGUCCCAAAUACUUCUUUUAGAAUAAGACUGGUUAUAAAGAAUCUUGAAUUGUCAUACCAAUCCAGUAAGGUGGGUAUGAGUUUUCCCAUUUUGUAGCUGAGGCUCCUAAAGCACAAAGAAGUGAAGUGACUGAUUCGAGGCCAGAGUGCUGGGAGGUGGCAGAACUGGGGUUUGUAUCUGGGUGCCAUGGUCUGAAUGCUUGUGGCCCCCCAAGUGGGGUAUUAGGAGGUGAGGCCUUUGGGAAGUGAUUAGGUCAUGAAGGCAGAAUCCUCACAAUUUGGAUUAGUGCCCUUAGGAAAGAGACCCCCACGAGCUAGCUAGUCCCUCCGCCAUGUGAGACCACAGAUAGAAGGCACAGCUAUGAACCAGAACAUGGGCCCUCACCAGACACCACAUCUGCCGGUGCCACCAUCUUGGGCUUUUCAGCCUCCACAACUGUGAGAGAUAAAUGUUUGCUGUUUAUCAGCCACUCUGUCGCUGGCAUUUUGUCAUAUUAUCCUGAACAGACUAAGACGCCGGGUCGACCUGACAUUUGAGUCACGAUCUUUCCACGACAUUGUGUCUGCCUCUGUCAGGAGAAAUGCUCAAGAGAAGAACUUCCUUGGGAAAGUGACUAAAAGAGCAGUCCUACAGCUCCUGAAAUCUGCAGUUCUCGCUUUCAAAUCCUGCUUUGAGACAUGGAAUCACCCAGAUAUUACAAAGUUCUAGAACCUAAGACGGAAAGUUUGAGAGGAAGGAGGGUGCUUCCAUUUUUCAAUAGCAGAGAAGCCGAGAGGCCAAGAUUGUCCGUUGUCAUCAUUCGUGGGUGUUCUGGUGAUCCCUUGCUUCGUAAUCAAUCACCUCAAAUCUUAGUGGCUUGAAGCAACUAUAAUCAUUGUGUUGUUAUCUCUCACCAUUCUGGAGGUUGGCCAGGCUGAGCCAGGUAGUUCGCACUCAGGGUCCUUCAUGCACUUGCAGUCAGCUGCCAGCUGGGGCUGGAAUCAUCUGGAAAGUCUGCUCACUGGCUAGUGGCUGAUGCUGGUGGUCAGCCAGGGUAGUAGGAGCUAUUGGCCAAAACUCCUCCAUGUGGCCUCUCCGUGUGGCCUGGGCUUCCUCACUGCGUGGUGGCCAGAUUCCAAGAGCAACAGUCCCCAGAAAAUAGAGUGGAAGGGCACGGCAGUUUUCUGACCCUGCUUUGGAAGUCACAUAGUGUCACUUCUGCAGUGACUUCUGUUCAUCAAGGCAGUCACAAAGUCCCACUCAGGUUCAAGGAGACGGGACACAGACCACUACUCAAUGGGAGAGUGUGAAGAAGAACAUGUAAGAUGGGAUACACCAUGGAGGCCAUCGUUGCAAAAUACAAUCUGCCACAUGGCAGGCUUUCCUGGAAGAACUUUCCAUUUGAAGGAAAAAGGUGACAAGUGGCAAAUUGUGCCUCUAACAAGAACCUCUCCUGUAGUCACAUCUGAUGAUAGCUUCUUUGGGGAACUGGCCACAAGAGACAUGAUCGGCAGCAAGAUUUACAGCCCUGCCAAAGCUGUCAUUGAAAUAAAUAGGAUUAGGCUGCAGUGACUUCAUCAUCUGGACUGUUCUAAUAACGUGUAAUUUGCAGCCAUGCUGUGACCAACAAAGCUGCUGGGGCACGUGAGUGGAAGUGCCUGGUCACCUCUGGGUCAGGCUGUUUGCUGGAAAUGUUGCAGGCCCUUGACCCCGUCCACCAGCAGACAGAUCUUACAUCCUCCCCUUACCAGCUUUUUUAUGCAGAAAAAAGCUGGAGGUGAUUUUGCUUUAGAAGUUCCAAAGUCAGCCAGAGCCACAAGAAAUGUCCUCCGUCUUCCCUGAGCUGGGCUCCCUGAGGCCCCAGUCCCAAGGCUGGGAGGGCACAGUGUGCUGGGGCCUGGCUCCCAGGGGACCUAUGUCCCGCCUCCAGGGGAGCUCAGUAUCCAUCCACAAUCCAGUCUGGCAGGCCCUGCAAGGAGGGAUGGCUCCUAAGAUGUGGACCACAAGCCGCAGGGUGGGGGAAAGACCUACUCCAGCCAGUCCCAUCCAUUUCCCCACGGCUCCCUGGCCCCCAGCUGCUGGCUUCCCUCUGGGUUCUCUCUCCGGCUCCCUGCCCCUGUGACAGGAAGCAUAGCCUCCUGCUAACCCUAUCGUUGUCACAGGCCCUCCCAUGCAGACCAACCUGGUGUCACCCUGGGCAGGGAGAGGCUGGGCUGGCCUUCCACAAAGGCUGCAGAGCAGAGCUUGCUGGCAUCGGUCCUCGAGGCUCUCACUCUCAGGAGACCUUACUGCUCACUGGGGCCGUGGAGUAAGGCUGCACGCAAGCAGGGGUCCAAGGACGGGGCAGCAUUCUGGGCCGCUGCGGGAGGUGGGCUGGUGCAACUGGCCCAGGAUGUGCUUUCACUGCCUCUGGGCUGCCUCUCUGGCCCCUGCAGAAGCUCGUGCCCCUGUGGGCCUUCCUGACCCCGCAGAGGGUUCCCCUAUCGAGUGAAUUGGCCCUGAUCUCAGCUCCCCACCUGUGAACUCUCAGUGCAGAGCAACGAUGAAAUCCACAAGUUCCCUAAACUCCUGGGUGGGUGGCUCCACCUGGAAUAUCCAGGUCUAGAGAAAUGUUAAUUACAACCACCCCCAUUUAUUCAGCAUUUACUAUAUGCCAAGCACAAUAGCAAAUGCUUUCUCAGUAUUUAAUCCUUACCCACUUACAGAUGAGAAAUCUGAGGCUGAUAGAAGGUAAAACAUAUUUCUCAUGGUGUCACACCAGUAAAUGUCGGAGUCACUGUAUGAAUCCAGAUCUGUCUGUUUGCAAACUCCUUAUUAGAAGUCAUGAAGUGUUUCUGACGUACCCUAGGCCUUGGCAAGUGGCCCCUGAGUCCAUAAGUAUCCUAACCUGGGCCCCUCCCACGCUGUCCUCAGUCCCCUUUGCAUGGGGCAGAACCCAAAUCAGUGGGGCUGGGGCGAGGGGAGGACGGGGAGAGUGGCAGGCAGGCUGGCAGCUUUGGCUAGUCAGGGAAGGGGCUCCCCACCGUGGGUGCCCAGUGGAGGCUGGGUGCUUCUCUGACACUAGCUGUUGUGGAGAGAAGUCCGGCCUCAGAUGCUAAAGGCCCAAAGAUGCGAGGGGGUUUCCGAAGAUGACUCCACAAGGCUGGGGGUGCUGCUGUCUAUUUUGACAGCUUAGCUGGCCCUCAGAAGGGCCCCUCUUCAUGACUGCCUCUGAGAAAGCUCCUUGCCCUCUCCUUCCCUCCAGGAAGUACUUUAGGUGGAAAGUGCAUGCACUUUAGGGUCAAGUCUCUAAUCGGCCACUGAUUAGCUGUGUGACCUCAGGAAAGUCACUUCACCUCUCUGAGCCUCAGUUUUCUCCUCUGCAAGUAGGGUUAAUAAUACCCAUUUGACAGUGUUGUUGGGAGGAUUCAAGAUCUUGAGCAUGAAUCCCUGCACAUGGGAGGCAGGACACUGUGGUCAAGUUGAUUAAGCCCAGGUGAGAGUGUGGAGGACUGCUCUACGAAGACCCUGCAUGCUCAGCAAGAUUUCCAGUGUGGGCAUGGUUGGGGCUCCCUGAUGGGGCCCCCUGGGCUUGCUGGUGCACAGGACUGACACUCCUCCGCCAGCAGCGAGCAGCCGCCAUUUCAGGGGGGUGUCCUGAUGAGGUUUGAAUAGGUGAGGAGGGGGAGAGGGGCCUGCAGGAGCUGGAAGGAUGGGUGCAGGGGAAGGGAAGGAGGCAGGGCGGCCACACUGCAGGAGGGUCCAAUGCCAGCAUGAGGCUGGGAGGUGGGGUGUAGCCCAGCAGCCUCCGAGGGGAGUUCACGGGCAGCUGGCUGGAGGAGCAGGAUGACAAGAAAAAGGGCUUGGAAAGCCCAUGCCGGACUCUGGGCAAGGAGAGGGUCUGGCAGGGUCAGGCCAAGAGCACAAGCAGCCUCAGGGCUCAGGACUCUGGGGAUUGGGGGCGUGGAGGGAUGGGUACUAGGGACCAGGGACUGGCUCUGAUGUGCUGGUUGUUCUGGCCUACCUCUUCUCAGGUAAUUCUCACAAGCACCAUCCAGGUUUCCCAGAUGAGGAAAUCAGGCUUAGAGACAAUAAGUGGCUUUGUCCCAGGCCUCAGUCAGGAAGGGCCAGAGCCGGGAUUUGAAUGCAAGACUCUCUACCACUUUCCAUUGCACCAGGCAGAGAGGAAGAAGGAAAAAGUGAGUGGGCCCGAUGGGGCAGGACCUUGUUUGCUGGGAACCCAACCCAAGAGAGCUUCGUAUGAGAACCAGUGAGCGCGCCCUGCCCUCACCCAGGGUGCCUGACAAGGGUCGGGAGCGCAGGACAGGAAAGGCAGGUUUCCCCGCAGGCCUGGGGCUCUGGAGCAGCUGGGCCAGACCAAGAAUUUCCGGCAGAGCAGCCCCGUUUGCUGCGGCCACCCGCCCACCGGGGCUGUCACUCACAGAGUAGCAGCAACUCUUCACAGCCCUUAGACAAGACACUCCCCCCGUGACUCCUCAUCCCCCACUUGCUUAGUCACUGAUGUGUCAAAACGGAGGAAACUACCUUCUCCCAAAGACGUGGAGGAAAGAAGGAUGGGACUGUUGGAUCCAGAGUUCUCCCACCAUCCUUCUCUGGUCUUACUCCACUCUAGCGAUCACGGCUUCUCCAGAUGGGCCAUGCACUGUCCCUGUGAGGAGUGGCGGCAACACAGCCCACGUCCACUCAAGGGAAUGUGGGAAUCCUGUAAGCCCCAGCCAUCGAAAGACAGAGUCUUGGGAUCCCUCAUAGAAAGGGAUGAAUGACACAGAAGUGGCUGCUUGGGGCCAUUUGAGGCCUGGUUUACCCAGAAGAGUCCAUCAGAGACCGCCCUAGUGUUUGGCCUUAGAGAGCCCCCCACGGCCGCCUCCCCAGACGCAGGGCCCAGCAGGGGCUGAAGGCCACGUUCCCACGCCGCUCCUGCUGGAGCCAGGCCAGGCCUCAGUCAGCGCCUUUCACGGCUGCCCGGCUCAGAGCCCGGAGCACCGCAGGGUCUGGUCUGAGGGGAAUCAGUCAGUUCCAAUUACCUGUGGAGAGGGCUCCCACAAUCAAUGCCUCUUUAUUUCCUGAAAAGCCACAUGCUCAGGGCAACAGCCGGGAUAGACCUGCAGUCUCUUCCCAUCCAGGCAACCCCCUGGGGCUCCUGUGAAGAUGCAGAGAUACAAGUAUGCUUGAAUGUCCACCACCUUCCGGGCACUGUGUUGACGUGGGACAUGGCAGCGAACGAGACAAACCCUGCAGAGCCCUGGGGAUCUCACAUGAGCAAAAGCUUCACUUCUGAGAUCCCUGAGUCACCGUGUAAGAUGUCUGACACCCCUGCUCAUGGGACCAUGGGAAAAGGCCAUGUGGAGAGGAAGAGAGGCCCAGCUGAUGACUCAGCAUCUUAGUUCAGCCUCCAGAUGACUCCAGCCCCAGCCUUUAUCUGGAUGCACCUACGUGAGAGACCCCGAGCAGACCAGCAGAAGAACCAGCAAGCUGAACCCAGUCCACCCACUGACCCAGGAGAGAGAAUAAAAUAGUGGUUGUUUUAAAG
rnacentral:lncRNA from 1 species